GGAUGAAUGCCAGGUGUCGGACAUCAAGGUGUUCAGUGGCGCAGUAAACGCAUUAAGCAUUCCGCUUGGGGAGUACGGUCGCAAGAUUAAAACUCAAAGGAAUUGACGGGGGCCCGCACAAGCGGUGGAGCAUGUGGUUCAAUUCGAAGCAACGCGAAGAACCUUACCAGGCCUUGACAUCCCGGUCGCGGCCUCCAGAAAGGGAGGCCUUCAGUUCGUCUGGACCGGUGACAGAUGCUGCAUGUCUGUCGUCAGCUCGAGUCGUGAGAUGUAGGGUUAAGUCCAGCAAAGAGCGCAACCCUCGCCCUUAGUAGCCAUCAUUGAGUUGGGCACUGUAGGGGGACUGCAGAUGAUAAGCCACGAGGAAGGUGGGGAUAAGGUCAAGUCCUCAUGGCCCUUACGGCCUGGGGUACACACGAGCUACAAUGGCGGUGACAAUGGGCAGCGAUGGCGCGAGCCUGAGCUAAUAUCAAAAAACCGUGUCAGUUCGGAUUGCACUAUUCAACUUGAGUGCAUGAAGUCGGAAUCGUAUAGUAAUCGUGGAUCAGCAUGCCACGGUGAAUACGUUCCCGGGCGUUGUACACACCGCCCGUCACACCAUGGGAGUUGGUUUUACCAGAAGGUGGUGCGCUAACCAGCAAUGGAGGCAACCAACCACGUUAGAUUCAACACCAGGAAUUCUAACAAAUAACCUA
rnacentral:rRNA from 1 species